GAUGAACGCUGGCGGCGUGCUUAACACAUGCAAGUCGAACGGAAAGGCUCCUGCUUGCCGGGGUACUCGAGUGGCGAACGGGUGAGUAACACGUGGGUGAUCUGCCCUGCACUUCGGGAUAAGCCUGGGAAACUGGGUCUAAUACCGGAUAGGACCACAUUUUGGAUGGUGUGGUGGAAAGUUUUUCGGUGUGGGAUGGGCUCGCGGCCUAUCAGCUUGUUGGUGGGGUAAUGGCCUACCAAGGCGUCGACGGGUAGCCGGCCUGAGAGGGUGUACGGCCACAUUGGGACUGAGAUACGGCCCAGACUCCUACGGGAGGCAGCAGUGGGGAAUAUUGCACAAUGGGCGCAAGCCUGAUGCAGCGACGCCGCGUGGGGGAUGACGGCCUUCGGGUUGUAAACUCCUUUCGCUAGGGACGAAGCGCAAGUGACGGUACCUGGAGAAGAAGCACCGGCUAACUACGUG
rnacentral:rRNA from 1 species